CAGGUCUUGGAAGUUGGAACAUACAGUGUCGAUCAAAGUGGAGGCCCUCUCCGCGGCUUGGCGGGAAAGUGCAUCCAUUUUGUUUGUCUCUGUGUGUACAUGGCGUCUGAAAAGCCG
rnacentral:precursor_RNA from 7 species